CUAACCUCCUCUGGAAUGAACUCCAUGCUUGCAGAGUCAUCUUCAGAAUGAGUCAGCUCCGCUUGUCCCAGGCAGGAGACUCACGAGUUGAUGUGAAAUGCGGAUUCCCUAUGAGACGGAGGACAUUGCAUGUCUCAUCCCAUCACGACCGUGUGGGUCUCGUUAUUUCAUAAGAGAGGGGGAAAAUGUGAAUUGGAAUUUUAUUUCCUAAGUACUGUUCUUGGUUUCUGACCAGCUGAUCCCAAGUUUCACAUCCUUGUCUGUGAAGCUAAACUCAAUGCUGCUGUGUGGGAAGAAGAUUUGUAAAGAAAACUCUUAGGUUUAAUUUUGCCACACUUGCUAAAGAAAAC
rnacentral:lncRNA from 1 species